CGGGGAGAUGGCUUAGUGGGUAAAGUACCUGGUCACCUGAAUUUGAACACCUGGCCGCCACAUAAAAGCUGGGCAUAGCUGCUAAGAGGGACACUCACAGCACUGAUCUGAUCCCGAGAGAAUGUUGGGCUUUCAAGAUAUUCCAUUUAGAAGUUUGUCUUCUUCCUGGCGCAUAAUGGCCUCCUGGGCAAAGAACUGCCCUUACCUCGACUGCUGACAGUAGAGUGCUACCCUUUCUGGAUGAGCAGGACACAAGGAAAAGUGACUACUGAACUCUGUCAAGAGAGGUGGUUUGGAUGCUGAGAUCUUGGACAAAGCAGAUCAGCGUGGGACAUAGCACAGUUUUCCAGUGGUUGUGAGUUAACCCC